CUCCUCCCGCGUCACUCCCGGCCGCAUACCAGCCCGGGCGGGGCGCCCGCGGCCUUGCUCCCCGCCGCCCGCUCCGCCCCGCUGGCCGCUUCCUGCGCCGUCCGCCUGUCCCGGCCACCACCUGCCCAACGCUGGGCUCGCGUCGGAAGUCGGCAGCCCGGGAGCGCCGGUUUUCCCAAACGCCUCGUACCAGUCGGUGAGCAAAGUUCCUCUAGCUUGUGUCAAGCACAGCAGGCUACUGCAGUUUCCCUUCGCUGUGAAGGAUACAACAGGAGGCUCUGGACAGAUUCUGGCACUCUAUGCAUUUUCAAGACUCCUAUGGAAAAUAAAUGUCUUUAUAAAUUA
ensembl:lncRNA